AUUGAACGCUGGCGGCAGGCCUAACACAUGCAAGUCGAGCGAGCGGCGGACGGGUGAGUAAUGUAUGGGGACUGCCCGAUAGAGGGGGAUAACUACUGGAAACGGUAGCUAAUACCGCAUACUAUCGGAUAACCCAUAUGGGAGUAGCUAGUAGGUGAGGUAAGGGCUCACCUAGGCGACGAUCCCUAGCUGGUCUGCGAGGAUGAUCAGCACCCCGGGGACGGCGAAACGGCCCGGACUCCUAUGGACGCAGCAGUGGGGAAUAUUGCACAAUGGGGUCAAGCCGGAUGCAGCCAUGCCGCGUGUAUGAAGAAGGCCCUAGGUUUGUAAAGUACUUUCAGUCGGGAGGCGUUACCGACAGAAGAAGCACCGGCUAACUCCGUGCCAGCAGCCGCGGUAAUUC
rnacentral:rRNA from 1 species